AACCAAAACCUAAGCAUGACGAUUGUGUUAUCAGGUUUUAUGAUAUGUGCCUUCCUCAAAACUUGUUACGGUAACAUCACAUCACUUAUCUAACA
ensembl:snoRNA